rnacentral:rRNA from 1 species
UACGUAGGGUGCAAGCGUUGUCCGGAAUCAUUGGGCGUAAAGCGCGUGUAGGCGGCUGGCUAAGUCCGCUCUGAAAGCCCGGGGCUCAACCCCGGGAGGCGGGUGGAUACUGGGGAUCUCGAGUCCGGAAGAGGUUGGUGGAACUGCGAGUGUAGAGGUGAAAUUCGUAGAUAUUCGCAAGAACACCAGUGGCGGAAGGCGGCC